ensembl:lncRNA PVT1 Pvt1 oncogene
GAGCACAUGGGCCCGCGGGCCGGGCGGGCUCGGGGCGGCCGGGACGAGGAGGGGCGACGACGAGCUGCGAGCAAAGAUGUGCCCCGGGACCCCCGGCACCUUCCAGUGGAUUUCCUUGCGGAAAGGAUGUUGGCGGUCCCUGUGACCUGUGGAGACACGGCCAGAUCUGCCCUCCAGCCUGAUCUUUUGGCCAGAAGGAGAUUAAAAAGAUGCCCCUCAAGAUGGCUGUGCCUGUCAGCUGCAUGGAGCUUCGUUCAAGUAUUUUCUGAGCCUGAUGGAUUUACAGUGAUCUUCAGUGGUCUGGGGAAUAACGCUGGUGGAACCAUGCACUGGAAUGACACACGCCCGGCACAUUUCAGGAUACUAAAAGUGGUUUUAAGGGAGGCUGUGGCUGAAUGCCUCAUGGAUUCUUACAGCUUGGAUGUCCAUGGGGGACGAAGGACUGCAGCUGGCUGAGAGGGUUGAGAUCUCUGUUUACUUAGAUCUCUGCCAACUUCCUUUGGGUCUCCCUAUGGAAUGUAAGACCCCGACUCUUCCUGGUGAAGCAUCUGAUGCACGUUCCAUCCGGCGCUCAGCUGGGCUUGAGAAGGACAGAAUAACGGGCUCCCAGAUUCACAAGCCCCACCAAGAGGAUCACCCCAGGAACGCUUGGAGGCUGAGGAGUUCACUGAGGCUACUGCAUCUUGAGACUCAGGAUGAAGACCCAGCUUGGGGCUGUCAAAGGUUUUUUGCAUGUCUGACACCCAUGACUCCACCUGGACCUUAUGGCUCCACCCAGAAGCAAUUCAGCCCAACAGGAGGACAGCUUCAACCCAUUACGAUUUCAUCUCUGCCCCAACCACUCAGCAGCAAGCACCUGUUACCUGUCCACCCCCACCCCUUCCCCCAAACUGCCUUUGAAAAAUCCCUAACCUAUGAGCUUUGAAUAAGAUGAGUACGAACUUCAUCGCCCACGUGGCGUGGCCGGCCUCGUGUCUAUUAAAUUCUUUUUCUACUACAA